GGACUACUGGGGUUUCUAAUCCUGUUUGCUACCCACGCUUUCGCGCCUCAGCGUCAGUUGUCGUCCAGGUGGCCGCCUUCGCCACUGGUGUUCCUCCCAAUAUCUACGAAUUUCACCUCUACACUGGGAAUUCCACCACCCUCUCGCGACACUCAAGAAAAACAGUUUCGAAUGCACUUCCCAGGUUAAGCCCGGGGCUUUCACAUUCGACUUAUCUCUCCGCCUACGCGCCCUUUACGCCCAAUAAUUCCGAACAACGCUUGCACCCUCUGUCUUACCGCGGCUGCUGGCAC
rnacentral:rRNA from 1 species